ACAACUUUCAACAACGGAUCUCUUGGCUCUCGCAUCGAUGAAGAACGCAGCGAAAUGCGAUAACUAAUGUGAAUUGCAGACUUCAGUGAAUCAUCGAGUCUUUGAACGCACCUUGCGCCCUUUGGUAUUCCGAAGGGCAUGCCUGUUUGAGUGUCAGUAA
rnacentral:rRNA from 1 species